AUAGGAUUUGGAGUCGUUUACAAAGGUUAACAAAGUUCAGGGAGUCAGGGAAGGGAAAAUUAAGAAAAAGCCCACAGGACAGAGUGGAGCAUGUGGCAAGGUCAGCGGCCGCAUGGACGUCUCCAAUUGUGCUGGCUGUGCUGCUGUGGCCGCGGUGGGGCAGAAGCCAGACGUCCUCACUUCCCCCCACCCCAGUCCAGUUGUACAUGUUGUGCACUGCACAAGGGCCCUGGCAGAGGGCCAAGUUGGAGCUGAAAUCCAGCCAUGGCAUGGCCCUGUGGGCUGCACACAGCAUAUGGAGGCUGCACUGGUCAGCAGCUGCUCAGCCUGAGAGAGAUCCUGGAGCCCCACGUGGCAUCUCUGGGUCUGAAUUCUCUCUUGACACAAAGAGGACACCUCCUUGGUCGUUGCUAAGGAAUUUCAACAGAGGAGGGUCCUGCAAGUUCCCAGCGCCAUGCACUGUGCAGCCGAGCCCAACACCCGGAAGCUGCUGUCAGCUGGUCCCUCGGACACUGCUGUGGGCUGGUUCGCCCUCUUGGGCCCUCACUGCUCAGAGCUGCAAGGUGGCUUCAUCACUUUCUUCUGUGCAGUCCCAGCCUUCCAGAUGGUCAGAGACUGCUGGUGCCUCCCUCCACCAUCCCGUUGCUGUCCCCCAGGGCCUCAUCUCUGGGACUUCUCUACCCUACCACCCCUCACAUUGACACAAAUGUGUACACAGAAGCACACAUGCAUGCACACACAUACAUGCAUGUGCACAGAUGCACACACAGACACACAUGCAUAUACAUGCACAGAGAUGCACACAUAUACACACAGACAUGCACACACACACGCUACAGCAUGUGCACACAGACACACACACCCUGCACACCCCAAGCCUCGUCUGCUGUCUCUGCUGUGCCUGCUUCCCUUAGCCCCUGAUACCACCUUCCCCAGGUCUCCCAACUGCCCUGCCUGGACACAGAGAGGGGUCCUGUGAAGUCAGGCCUUGAAGGAGUGGGGGUCUCUCAGCCCCUCUGGAAGCCUCGCUCCAGGACUGUCCCCUCUCCGGCACAGCAUUCAGGACCAGCAGCCCUCAGCCCUGCAGUGUCCAGACCUGGUUCUGGGGAGCUUGGGGAGCUGGGGAGGUGGGUCAGGACCCAGACACCUUUGAU
rnacentral:lncRNA from 1 species